rnacentral:antisense_RNA from 1 species
UGUAGGAGCUGCCGAAGGCUGCGAUCUUUUGAUUUUGAUCUUUUAAAAAGCAAGAUCAAAAGAUCGCAGCCUUCGGCAGCUCCUACA